UCGGUUCCGGUUCACGCUCGACAUCUCCCAGGUCAGGGAGCGGGCGACCCGGCGACC
rfam:Mycobacterium sp. SCH PROKKA_contig000094, whole genome shotgun sequence.